rnacentral:tRNA from 1 species
GGGGUUGUGUCUCAGUGGUAGAGUGCUCACCUUGUAUGGGUGAGGCACUGGGUUUGAUCCUCAACACCA